rnacentral:rRNA from 1 species
UACAGAGGGGGCAAGCGUUAUUCGGAAUUAUUGGGCGUAAAGGGCGCGUAGGCGGCCUGGCAAGUGAAAGGUGAAAUCCCUCGGCUUAACCGAGGAACUGCCUUUCAGACUGCUUGGCUUGAGACCGGGAGAGGUGAGUGGAAUUCCCAGUGUAGCGGUGAAAUGCGUAGAUAUUGGGAGGAACACCAGUGGCGAAGGCGGCUCACUGGACCGGUACUGACGCUGAUGAGCGAAAGCUAGGGGAGCAAACGGG